CUUUUCCUCAACACAACUGCUAGAAGAAAGUCAAGUUUUGCAAGCGCUCCUAAAAAUUAAAAUACUCUGAAAUGAUUGUCUACGAGGUAAAUAGCCUGGCAAUGGCGGCUACUUGGAAAAUGGAUGCAAAAAAUGAAUUCAAUUUCGCUGAAAUUACAUGAAAAACCUACCACACGUGUUGCCGGCAUGAGUUAGAACUUAAUUUCCACGUGUUGAUACCUUGGCUUGUUUUCGAUGUUUUCCGCAUGGUAAGCUAAAAUUUUUUGUAAAAUUUAAUUUAUUAGAAACAGUAUGAUGAACAACCUAUUUUAACAGUUAUCCCUGUCAUAAAAAAAUAAUUG